GGUUAAGUGACUAAGCGUACACGGUGGAUGCCUUGGCAGUCAGAGGCGAUGAAAGACGUAGUAACUUGCGAUAAGCCCAGAUUAGGUAGUAACAACCAUUUGAGUCUGGGAUUUCUGAAUGGGGAAACCCACGUGCAUAAGCACGUAUCCUUACCUGAAUACAUAGGGUAAGGAGGCGAACCGGGGGAACUGAAACAUCUAAGUACCCCGAGGAAAAGAAAUCAACCGAGAUUCCGAAAGUAGCGGCGAGCGAAAUUGGACUAGCCCUUAAGCUUUACACGCGUUAGACGAACGGUCUGGAAAGUCCGACGAUACAGGGUGAUAGUCCCGUAGUUGACGACGUGUGUUCAGUGAAAUCGAGUAGGGCGGGACACGUGAUAUCCUGUCUGAAUAUGGGGGGACCAUCCUCCAAGGCUAAAUACUACUGACUGACCGAUAGUGAACCAGUACCGUGAGGGAAAGGCGAAAAGAACCCCUGUGAGGGGAGUGAAAUAGAACCUGAAACCGUGUACGUACAAGCAGUAGGAGCAGGCUUUGUCCUGUGACUGCGUACCUUUUGUAUAAUGGGUCAGCGACUUAUAUUCAGUGGCAAGGUUAACCAUCUAGGGGAGCCGUAGGGAAACCGAGUCUUAACUGGGCGUUCAGUCUCUGGAUAUAGACCCGAAACCAGGUGAUCUAGCCAUGGGCAGGUUGAAGGUUGAGUAACAUCAACUGGAGGACCGAACCGACUAAUGUUGAAAAAUUAGCGGAUGACUUGUGGCUAGGGGUGAAAGGCCAAUCAAACCUGGAGAUAGCUGGUUCUCCCCGAAAGCUAUUUAGGUAGCGCCUCGGACGAAUACUACUGGGGGUAGAGCACUGUUAAGGCUAGGGGGUCAUCCCGACUUACCAACCCUUUGCAAACUCCGAAUACCAGUAAGUACUAUCCGGGAGACACACGGCGGGUGCUAACGUCCGUCGUGGAGAGGGAAACAACCCAGACCGCCAGCUAAGGUCCCAAAUUACUACUAAGUGGGAAACGAUGUGGGAAGGCUCAGACAGCCAGGAUGUUGGCUUAGAAGCAGCCAUCAUUUAAAGAAAGCGUAAUAGCUCACUGGUCGAGUCGGCCUGCGCGGAAGAUGUAACGGGGCUAAGUAGUAAACCGAAGCUGCGGCAAUAUACUUUUGUAUAUUGGGUAGGGGAGCGUUCUGUAAGCGGUUGAAGGUGUGUGGUAACGCAUGCUGGACGUAUCAGAAGUGCGAAUGCUGACAUGAGUAACGAUAAAGGGGGUGAAAAACCUCCUCGCCGGAAGACCAAGGGUUCCUGUCCAACGUUAAUCGGGGCAGGGUAAGUCGACCCCUAAGGCGAGGCCGAAAGGCGUAGUCGAUGGGAAACGGGUUAAUAUUCCCGUACUUCUUACAAUUGCGAUGGGGGGACGGAGAAGGCUAGGUGGGCCUGGCGACGGUUGUCCAGGUUCAAGUGCGUAGGCUUAAGAGUUAGGUAAAUCCGGCUCUUUUUAAGGCUGAGACACGACGUCGAGCACCUACGGGUGUGAAGUCAUUGAUGCCAUGCUUCCAGGAAAAGCCUCUAAGCUUCAGAUUGUAAGGAAUCGUACCCCAAACCGACACAGGUGGUCGGGUAGAGAAUACCAAGGCGCUUGAGAGAACUCGGGUGAAGGAACUAGGCAAAAUGGUACCGUAACUUCGGGAGAAGGUACGCUCUCGACGGUGAAGUCCCUCGCGGAUGGAGCUAUUGAGAGUCGCAGAUACCAGGUGGCUGCAACUGUUUAUUAAAAACACAGCACUGUGCAAAAUCGUAAGAUGACGUAUACGGUGUGACGCCUGCCCGGUGCCGGAAGGUUAAUUGAUGGGGUUAGACUUCGGUCGAAGCUCUUGAUCGAAGCCCCGGUAAACGGCGGCCGUAACUAUAACGGUCCUAAGGUAGCGAAAUUCCUUGUCGGGUAAGUUCCGACCUGCACGAAUGGCGUAAUGAUGGCCACGCUGUCUCCACCCGAGACUCAGUGAAAUUGAAAUCGCUGUGAAGAUGCAGUGUACCCGCGGCUAGACGGAAAGACCCCGUGAACCUUUACUACAGCUUGGCACUGAACAUUGACCCUACAUGUGUAGGAUAGGUGGGAGGCUUUGAAGCACGUACGCCAGUAUGUGUGGAGCCGUCCUUGAAAUACCACCCUUGUAGUGUUGAUGUUCUAACGUCGACCCCUAAUCGGGGUUGCGGACAGUGCCUGGUGGGUAGUUUGACUGGGGCGGUCUCCUCCCAAAGAGUAACGGAGGAGCACGAAGGUGGGCUAAUCACGGUUGGACAUCGUGAGGUUAGUGCAAUGGCAUAAGCCCGCUUGACUGCGAGAAUGACAAUUCGAGCAGGUGCGAAAGCAGGUCAUAGUGAUCCGGUGGUUCUGAAUGGAAGGGCCAUCGCUCAACGGAUAAAAGGUACUCCGGGGAUAACAGGCUGAUACCGCCCAAGAGUUCAUAUCGACGGCGGUGUUUGGCACCUCGAUGUCGGCUCAUCACAUCCUGGGGCUGAAGUCGGUCCCAAGGGUAUGGCUGUUCGCCAUUUAAAGUGGUACGCGAGCUGGGUUUAGAACGUCGUGAGACAGUUCGGUCCCUAUCUGCCGUGGGCGUUGGAAGAUUGAAGGGGGCUGCUCCUAGUACGAGAGGACCGGAGUGGACGAACCUCUGGUGUUCGGGUUGUGUCGCCAGACGCAUUGCCCGGUAGCUAAGUUCGGAAUCGAUAACCGCUGAAAGCAUCUAAGCGGGAAGCGAGCCCUGAGAUGAGUCUUCCCUGAUACUUUAAGUAUCCUAAAGGGUUGUCGGAGACUACGACGUUGAUAGGUCAGGUGUGUAAGUGCUGUGAGGCAUUGAGCUAACUGAUACUAAUUGCCCGUGAGGCUUAACCAU
rnacentral:rRNA from 1 species